rnacentral:rRNA from 1 species
CCUACGGGUGGCAGCAGUAGGGAAUCUUCCACAAUGGGCGCAAGCCUGAUGGAGCAACACCGCGUGAGUGAAGAAGGGUUUCGGCUCGUAAAGCUCUGUUGGUGGGGAGGAACGUGCGUGGGAGUAUCUGUUCACCCAGUGACGGUAUCCACCCAGAAAGUCCCGGCUAACUACGUGCCAGCAGCCGCGGUAAUACGUAGGUGGCAAGCAUUAUCCGGAAUUAUUGGGCGUAAAGCGAGCGCAGGCGGUUGGUUAGGUCUGAUGUGAAAGCCUUCGGCUUAACCUAGGAAGUGCAUCGGAAACCGGGAGACUUGAGUGCAGAAGAGGACAGUAGAAGUCCAGGUGUAGCGGUGGAAUGCGUAGAGAUAUGGAAGAAUACCAGUGGCGAAGGCGGCCGUCUGGUCGGCAACUGACGCUGAGGCUCGAAAGCAUGGGGAGCGAACAGGAUUAGAUACCCGGGUAGUC